GCUGAAGUAUCAGCUAUUUUUAACAUAAAACCCAUAAAGCAAAUUUAGAUGAUUGCUGUAGAUAAUCAAAGCAUUCAUAACUUAAGUAAAGGUGAUUAAACUUUAAUGACAUAAUCAAAAGGCAAGUACUGUGAAGGAAAUAAUUAUUAAUAAUUUAUAAGUAGAGAUAUAUAUUCGUACCUUUUGUAUCAUGGCUUAGCUAGAUUUACUACCUAAAUAGGUUACCUAGAAAAUCAAUGAGCGACCUUAUUUUUUCUUUAUAGAGGAAAAGAAGUAGGUGUGGCAAAACCUUUUUAAAAAUUUAAGGUAGAAAUGAGAUUUUAUCCGCAUUGAUUGAUAGCUAGUUUUUCUUUAAAGGCAUAGAAGUGCUUUCGAUCUAGAUAAAUAGAUAUUAGAGGGGUAUAACUGAUCUAUUACAGGGUUGAAUUAUUUUUUUGAGGAUUAGCUCGAAAAAUAAGUAAAAAUGAAUUACAUUGAAUCUUAGUUUAAAUUUAGGCUUGAAAGUAGCCUUUAUUUUGAGUUUGUUAUAAACCAUUGAAAUUAGUUAAGGGACAAUUGGUCUGUGAAAAUUUUAAAGAAAAGAUCUCAAUAAUAGAAAUAUGAGAUAUUUAAAUGCUAAGAUGAGUAUUAAAAGAUAAAAUUAGAUGUUAAGGAUGUGUAAAAAUUAAUAAAAUAGUAAAUAUAUAGGAAUUAAAUCUAUGAAAGGAACUCGGCAAACUAAUCUGCUCCGCCUGUUUAUCAAAAACAUGGCUCUAUGAAAUAUACAAAUAUAGAGUCGGACCUGCCCAGUGAAAAUUUUCAACGGCCGCGGUACUCUGACCGUGCAAAGGUAGCAUAAUCAUUUGCCCUAUAAUUGAGGGCUAGUAUGAAUGGUUUGACGUGAGCAGAGCUGUCUCUUGUAGAAUAAUUAGAAUUUAACUUACAGGUGAAGAUGCCUGUAUGCCAUUGAUAGACAAGAAGACCCUAUCGAGCUUGAAAGAAAUAUUUAGGACAUAAUUGACUUAUAUUUCAGUACACUUAGGCUAAAUAAAAUUUUGGUUGGGGCGACUGAGGAACAAAAGAAGCUUCCUUUAUCUUAAGUACAAGCUAUCUUGCAAUGAUCCAGAAGAAUUACUGAUCAAAGAAAUUAGUUACCGUAGGGAUAACAGCAUAAUCUUUUUUGAGAGCUCAUAUCGAAAAAAAGGUUUGUGACCUCGAUGUUGGACUAGAGUUUCCUGAAGAUGUAGAAGUCUUUAAGGGUUGGUCUGUUCGACCAUUAAAACUCUACAUGAUCUGAGUUCAGACCGGCGUGAGCCAGGUCAGUUUCUAUCUUCAAUUACUUAAAUUUAAGUUUAGUACGAAAGGACCAACUUAAGAAAAUGGUUUUUCAAAUUGAUAAAAUAUAAUAAUAGCAUGAAAGAAUCAAAUUAGCAAAGUUAAUGCGAU
rnacentral:rRNA from 1 species